rnacentral:lncRNA from 1 species
AGAAGUUGCGGACUAGUAGCUGAGGCGGCACGGGAGUGUAGGCGCGCGGGGUCGUUGCCGGGGGCACAGAGUGAGAACAAGCAAGGGAGCCCUGCUGAAUUGCAGCUUAGGAAGCCCUGAAUCCUGGAGAUAUGUUCCUGACCCUUCCUUCUUGAAGGGACAGCUGUGUAACCAUUCAACCAUCUGGCCAUCAGUUUCCACAUCUGUGAAAUCAACUUCUGCCUCAUGGAGCCGUGAGUUCCCAAGUGAAGGCAGUGAGGGGCUGUGGUGUGAUCCAGGAGGCUGAGAAUUAUGCAGUGGGUGCUGUCACCUUGAAGACAUCAGCGUGAUCAGGCAGAUCAUCAUGGUACUGCAUUUCCUGGACACGAUCUUAAUUUUCUUAAUACCUCCACCGACAUUUCAAAUAGCGUCUCUAAUGCCCCAGAGACUUUUAUGCCCCUAAGGUAGUUUUCUUUCUUUUGUGAAGCAGAAGAAGGGAAAUUGUUAAAGGGAAUAUUUUAACUAAAUUUAUUUCCAUAAAACUAUCUUUGUCUUUAUAUCUCAUGGAAAGUGUUAGGUAGCCUCAGGAUUAUAUCUCCGUUGGAAAACUGUAGAUGUAAACCUUCUUGCUAUCUACAUACUUACAUAUUUUUCUGUUGUUAUUUACUUAUGAAUAGCAUUUUGAUUAUAGCAGAAAUAAAAUACAUUAAAUGACUAAGCUCAGAAAUAAGAAAAAAAGGUCAAUGGUGAUCAUUUAUUUGGAAACUAUGAUAUUUUAAUGAUAUUAAUGGUGUAAUUGACAUUUAGUUAAACAUAUUUCAUCGUAAGUAGAGCACUUUAACUCUUACGGUCCACUUAAAAUGUAAUCAUACGUUUAUGUAUUUCUAGUUAAUGUAUCAAACUCAACUGAGUAAUCAAUGUACAUCAUUUAUUUUGCUCCUAAGUUAAUACACUAAGUUAUGCUUUAAAAUUACUAAUUUGCUGCAAUAUCCAAUACUCUCUUUUAAGUCUUACGUCUGCAGAAAAGGAUAUAAACAUUUCAUGACACCAAACCCAAGUAUUUUUGAUGCCCUUGGCAGUGUCAGUUGAACAGACAGUGUCAUUUAAUGUUUGAGACAGCAUCUGAAUUCCUUUUAUUCUUAAAAUUCUAUUUUAAAAUGCAGUUUUUGGAAAGUUAAUGUGAAUAGAAAAAUUUCUAACAUUUUAUGUGCAUGUGUUUUGUUUGUUACAGGCUUAGCAUCUCAAAUCUGAAAAUUCGAAAUCUGAAAUGUUUCUAAAAUUCAACUCUUUUGAGUGCUGAUAUGACUUUCAAAGGAAAAGCUCAUUGGAGCAUUUCAGAUUUUGGAUUUUUGGAUUUGGGAUGUUUAACCAGGGUAAAAUAUAGAAUGCAAAUAUUCCAAAAUCUGAAUAAAAUUGAAAUCUGAAAUGCUUAUGGUUCCAAGCAUUUUGGAUAAGGGAUAAUUAAGCUGUAUAACUUAUAAAACUGAAUAUAACAAAAUUUCCCAACAUGUGGAAAAUGAUGUCUUUUUUCAAAAAUGUCAAUAGCAGAUACAUGGUACAGUAAGUUAGGGGAAAAAAUGAGGUUUCAUAUCUUCUAGUUUCCUAAUUAAAAGGAGCCCAUUCUGGGUUGGAAGAAAGUGUCAGUAAGAUCAUUUCUCCUAUUUGAAAAUCAUACAAAGCUUGUCAGAGUGACUCAGGCCAGGAGUGUAGCUGGGCGUGUAGCUAAAUGAUAUCUCCCCACAUCUAUAUAAUAAGCUGUUACCUGCUUUAAAAGGAAAAGCUCUCAGCAUGACUCUAAUGUUGCAUUUCUGGAAUACAGCUUGAAAAGCUCUUCUCAGGGUUGAACAGAGCAUGAAGGUAAUGGUUAUUAUCUACUCACAUUAAAAAAAAAAAAAAAGAAAGAAACCACCACAGAAAACUACUUACUGUCUUUAGGCUCUACUUUCAAAAGUGCCCUUUAUGAACGCUUUUACACUGUUGAUGGGAGUGUAAAUUAGUUCAACCAUUGUGGAAGACAGUGUGGUGAUUCCUCAAGGAUCUAGAAUCAGAAAUACCAUUUGACCCAGCAAUCCCAUUACUGGGUAUAUACCCAAAGGAUUAUAAAUCAUUCUAUUAUAAAGACACAUGCACACGUAUGUUUAUUGCAGCACUGUUCACAAUAGCAAAGACUUGGAACCAACCCAAAUGCCCAUCAAUGAUAGACUGGAUAAAGAAAUUGUGGCACAUACACACCAUGGAAUACUAUGCAGCCAUAAUAAAAGAUGAGUUCAUGUCCUUUGCAAGGACAUGGACAAAGCUGGAAACCAUCAUUCUCAGCAAACAAGAACAGAAAAUCAAACACUGCAUGUUCUCAGUCUAAGUGGGAGCUGAACAAUGAGAAAACAUGGACACAGAGAGGGGAACAUCACACACUGGGCCUGUUGGGGGGUAGGGGGCUAGGGGAGGGAUAGCAUUAGGAGAAAUACCUAAUGUAAAUGACAGGUUAAUGGGUGCAGCAAACCACCAUGGCAUGUGUAUACCUAUGUAACAAACCUGCAUGUUCUGCACAUGUAUCCCAGAACUUAAAGUAUAAAUAAAUAAAUGAAUAAAUAAAUAAAUUUUAAAAAGUG